rnacentral:rRNA from 1 species
UAAGACGAACCGUGCGAACGUUAUUCGGAAUCACUGGGCUUAAAGCGCGUGUAGGCGGAUUGGCGCGUCGUUCGUUGAAAGCCCCCGGCUCAACCGGGGAAUUGGCGGCGAUACGGCUGGUCUUGAGGAGCGCAGGGGAACCUGGAACUUCCGGUGGAGCGGUGAUAUGCGUUGAGAUCGGAAGGAACGCCCGUGGCGAAAGCGAGGUUCUGGACGCUUGCUGACGCUGAGACGCGAAAGCUAGGGGAGCAAACGGGAUUAGAUACCCCGGUAGUCCUAGCUGUAAACGAUGAGCACUUGGCAGCGGAUUCGUCGAUGGAUUCGCUGCCGCAGGGAAACCGUGAAGUGCUCCGCCUGGGGAGUAUGGCCGCAAGGCUG